rnacentral:misc_RNA from 1 species
AGGGGCGAGUUGACCUGACACCGUGCAAAAUGGCCGCGCCCACGAUCCGCACGUUUCCCCCCUUCGACUUUAUCCGUUGUUAGUGAACACUUUUCCUUCUGAAUUCCUGUCGUUGCUCUUUUGGGUUUCGUCCGUUUGAAGCAAGAGAUAUGAAGCACAGGAUAUGCAUGGUGUCCGAUUUCUUCUUCCCCAACACGGGAGGAGUGGAGAAUCACAUCUUCCAACUUUCGCAGUGCCUUCUCCAGAGAGGCCACAAAGUUAUUGUGGUCACCCAUUCCUACGGCGACCGUGUUGGGGUACACUACAUGGCCAACAACCUAAAGGUAUACUAUCUACCCUUUGUGGUGUUCUACAAUGAGUGUGUGUUUCCAACGGUGUUUGGAACCAUGGCAUUAAUGCGUUACAUCUUCAUCAGGGAACAGAUCACCAUCAUCCAUGGCCAUUCGGCCUUUUCCACCAUGGCCCACGAAGCCUUAAUCCACGGCCGUGCCAUGAAUUUAAAGACAGUCUUCACUGAUCACUCCCUCUUCGGUUUUGCCGACAUCAGCUCCAUCCUCACUAACAAACUCUUGAGCUUCACACUCGCCGAUAUCAACCACGUUGUAUGCGUCUCCCACACAAGCAAGGAGAACACUGUUCUGAGGGCCUGUCUACCACCGGACAUCGUGUCCGUCAUACCAAAUGCAGUCGACUCCAGUGUCUUCAUGCCCGACCUCUCUCGAAGGAACCCGGACAGAAUAACCAUCGUGGUCGUCAGUCGCCUUGUGUACAGGAAAGGCAUGGACCUUCUUGCCGGUGUCAUCCCCGUAAUCUGCCAGCGACACGACGAUGUUGACUUCCUGAUAGGAGGGGACGGACCCAAGAGGAUAGAUAUCGAGGAAGUGAGAGAGAACUAUCAGCUGCAAGAUCGAGUCAGGAUGCUAGGCUCUUUACCACAUGGCAAUGUUAAAGAUGUCCUAAAUGAAGGAGAUAUAUUCCUGAAUACGUCACUGACCGAAGCCUUCUGCAUGGCCAUUGUUGAGGCUGCAUACUGUGGUUUGCAGGUCGUCAGUACCAAAGUAGGCGGAGUCCCAGAAGUGCUGCCGGAGGAGUUUAUCAUUCUUGCCGAGCCAAGUGUCAAAUCUUUAGUAGAAGCUUUGGAAGUUGCCGUUGCCAGACAGAGGGAGGGAAGCCACGUACCAGCACAGCAGGUCUAUGAGACAAUGAAAGGCGUCUACACCUGGCAGAACGUGGCCAAGAGAACGGAAAAAAUCUACAGCAGCAUCAUGGAGAUGCCUGUGUUGUCCCUAGCUGAGCGGCUGGAGAGAUACAACAAGCUGGGCCCCAUUGCGGGCAAAUUCUUCAUCAUUGUAGCUGUGGUAGAUCUUCUGUUGUACUGGUUCUUUGAGUGGUGGCAACCUAGAAGGAACAUCGCUAUUGUACCGGAUACCAACCAACCAGCUUACACAGAUGCAGAUAUGUACAAUAUUCAUGCACCUACAGGUCCCAAAGACCCAGCUGAACUUUGUCAGUCCGAAUCAACAGAGGGCAGCCUUUAUGUACAGAAACUGAGACCCCCAGUUAGCCGAAAGGGAGACAGGUAGUCCGCAGGGUUGGCCGUUUGGGUCAGCUUUGUCUCAGGCUGUUCAACGCUGUGCAAUAAUCGCCCUGAUGUUAACCAUGGCUUCCGAGUUUAACAUUGGCCUAAUUUAUCCUUUUCAAAGUUAUUUGAAAAACUAACAAAUGAAGCUUUAGCCGUUAUUGGUUCCAAACAAUUGUAAUCUUGGAAAGGGAAGUGUGUCCAAAUACAGAGCGGAAGACAAUGUGAGAAGGUUGUACCACUGUGUGUGAUUAUGCUGCAGCCAUAUUGGUCUGGUAUUUAAGUUCUGCAAUACCAAAGUACCGUUAUUUUAGUCAAUCAGUGUCACGAGACUUUUGACUUUUAGUGGCUAGAUCUUUAUUUUGCUAAUAAGUAAUUUUUUUUUUACUUUUUAGUAGAGUUGUAAACAUUUUGGUAAAAAAAUUUUGGAUACAACUGAAGCACUUUCAACGUCUGUCAACAGGAAAUACUUUUUUUGCAAAAUUAUCUGCGAUACUCUUUGCAUAAAAUGAUAACUAAGAUAUAAUGGUGCACUGACCUUUUAGAAAAAUUUCACAUCAGUUAUGGUUGUUGCCAUCACCCAACAGAGCUGGAAAUGGAGCAAAAGUACUUAAUUGUCCCUUAACAUUUGUUUAAGUCAUAAAUUCAUCCCUGGUUGCGUAAUUGUUUUUAGAUAAAGUUAAAACACUCCACAACUGCAUAAGCUCAUGCAUAUGUUUGUGUUCCAAACAGAACAUGUACUCAAUCAAUAAGUCAAUUCGAGCUUGUGCCAUUUUAGUCUUGCAUGCAGUUUACACAUGUCAUCAGGUGGCGCCAUCUGGGACAGGCUUGAGUUACGUGCUUGAGACCAAGCAUCUCUGAUGCCCAGUGAAGUAAGGCUGGAGAUCUUAAGUCAGACCAGCUACGAUGAGGCCUUCCUUGUGGGCGUUUCCCCCCGAUAGCUGAUGGUUCAAAGUGUAGAAGCGUAGCUGGUAUGGAAGAGGGCGAAAGCCAUUAGACCUGGCUGAAGUAACAAAGCCGACGCUGUCUGGCAAGAGACGAUGCUGGUGGUUGGUUGGUACAUAAGCAGAUGGGAUCGUGAUGAAUAAAAUCCGACCAUCGGAUAAUGCUCCAGGCGCUUCAGGGCAUUCGUAUCAAAUAUGCCCAGGCGUUUGGCUGCUGCAGAUGUUUAAUUGAGAGUGGACAUAAGGUCCUACUCAGCCUAAGACAUAUCUCGCGAUAUGUCAAACGUUGCAAGCUAUUGGUGCGGAAUGGAGGAGAUUUAUACCGUCUGUAGUAGUGUGCCAUUAUGAGAAAGACGACUGUAUAUGGAUAAGACCAUUCAGUCUUUGUCGAUCUCGGCAAGAAAUGAGACAAGAUGUUAUUAGGCAAGAGAGAACCUGAAUAAGCCCAUUCAGACGGACUGAAGUUUCUACGAAACAACUCAUCGCGGCUAGGAGGAUAUUUUUAGAAGGAAAAUGGAGGAGCUUAGGAGUUGUUUUGUUUGUUUGGUCGUUUUUGGUUUUUUCGAGAAGGAAAAUAACGGGACUAACUAUUAAGCCUAUGAGAAUACUUUCAGAAAGAAAAUUAAAUCAGAAUAAUAAACGUUGCAGCUAGGAUGAUUUUAGUAGAACGAAAACAAAUUGGUAGACUAUCAUCAAGGUUGGAGGAUAUUUUUUAGAAGAAAAAAUGGGAGACUGAUCAUCAAGGUUAGGGGGAUAUUUUCCAGAGGGAUAUUUUUUAGAAGGCAAAAAUUGGGAGAGUGAUCAUCAAGAUCAGGAGAAUAUUUUUAGAAGUAAAAAAGGAAAAAUUUGUAAUCGUGAGAUAUGUCCUAGGCUGAGUAGGACCUUAUGUCCACUCUCAAAUAAACAAGACGCCAUGUCUCGGCUCCGUGUAAAGAGUAUGAAGACCAUUACACAUCUUCAUUUUGGUCUGCCUAGAGAUGCUGUCAGGUUAUUCAUGGCAACAGCUGCCUUCACAAUCUGCGUGGAGGUGUCUGCCACUAGGUCUUCAUGAACAGUGGCGUUGCUAGGACUUUACCUGGGGGGGGUUACAAGGGGGCACCAGCAUCUUUAGGGGAGCACCAGCUUUCAGUGGUGUGGUUUUUUGGUGCAAGUUUUCGUUGGCCUUGUUCAAUUUUCAUUCAUCCGUUUUUUUUAGUGGGGGGGGGGGUUCCCGGGAGCCAUGUUCCCACUAUUCAUAAACAUUAAUUCCCACUGUUCAUGAACAUUAAGGGCGUGAGGGAGGAGAUUGGAUGGCGACUCAAACCUGACCUUAGUCUUUGGCCAGCUUAUUCUCAUUCUGACCUUUUUGGCCUCGCAAUCCAGGAUUUCUUGUACUCUGGUGAGAUCGUGUCUGGCUGGAGAGAGAAGAGCUGCGUGAUUGAGAAAAACAAAUCAAUUCAGUAAAGUUCUAAGUAUUUAUUUGUUUAUUACAAAAGACAGUUAAUACUGGAGUGUAAAAAUAAAAGAAAUACACCCUGAUAAAUAGGUGACAAGCAAGAAAUCAAUACAUGUACUCAGUUUGUCCAAAUUUGUCACCUUUCCCAAGUGCACAAAUCCUAUGCACAAAUCCCACAUUGGUGUUAUGGUGUUAGGUGGUCAUGUACGCUUUUAGAAAAUAUUUGAAAAGGUGGCUAGAAAUUAUGUUCUUUAAUACCCCACCAACAAAGCUGUUGGCAAUGUGUUGCUACCUUCAAAUGUUAAUAUUUUAAUAUUUUGGAUUCUCAGUGCAAAGAUCGGGGGAUCAAUCCCAACAAUUGCAUAGUUACAUGUAUAAUUUCACUGUUUGAGAAGGGAAAUUUACGUGUAUAGAGGCUUACUUUGAGGUCCUGAGUUUGAUUCAAAGUAGGUGUUCUGGGCAAAGGAAAUUCAUUACAUGUACAAGUGUGCAUGGCUGGCAUAAUUGGAUGCAUACAGACAUUGUCAUUCUUUGUGGGACCAAGACACAAAUAUUACGAAUAUGUCUGUCAAACAACAACAAAUCAUGAAACUUCUAAAUUCACUGCCUUGGCUUACUAUUAACUGGAUCUAUUUGAAAAACCAAAUACAAAUAGGAUGAUGAAAUAUGACCAGGCUCUUUCCUGUUUGGAGGGUUCAAAGUCAAAUAUUGAAAUGGAGGUCAAUUUUGGAAGUUUGUGAUAUUUUGAAAGAGUAACCUGUCUAUUUAAUUCCAGUUUUGUUAGCAGGAUCAGAUAUUUAAAAUUUUCUCAUCAAUUUCAAUGAUAGCAUUAUUCAUGCCCGGUCAGAAAUGUUGAAACAAUGUCAGAAAUAAAGAUGCAAUAUCUCAGUUUUUGAAAAGUCAGCUCUUUUUGUGGUGACCGGUCACAAACAGCUGUUUUGACAAUGCACAUGAUUUUGGCCAAAGAUUGUACAUGUAAUUUUGGUUCAUUGUUCAUUUCAAAUCAAACCAGAAGUUCCGAUUUUGAAAUUGCGACUGUUGGACUGUUGAAUAGGACAUUUGUGCGCAAACAGUAGGUGGAGAAAUAUCUUGUUGAAAGGAUUUUGAAAAAUACUGGAAUUUACAAUGAGACGUAUGACUUCAAUGUCUCCUCCCC